GUGGCUAGCUCAGUUGGUAGAGCCCCGGAUCGUGAUUCCGGUUGUCGUGGGGUCGAGCCCCAUUAGCCACCCCA
rnacentral:tRNA from 1 species